GCUGUGUUUCUUAAUAGGUGUAUUUCUUAAAGAGAGAAAAGCAGAGACUCACCGACAUCCUGGAAUUGUCUUGGCAUCCGAUCUCUUAUACGGCAGCAAGGAAAAAAUAUAUUAUUGCUGUAACAUGUAGGUAAUUAAACCAUGAUAUGUGGAAACACUCCGCGGAUAUCCCAAGAUAUCUCCAUAACUCACAGAAGAUCCUUGAGGCAGCUCAUUUGGCAGCAUAUCCACUCUGAAGUACCGGCUGCGAAUGGUUCUGACCUGCUUCUCUUUAAUCACAGAUGUUUAGGCUGCAGCACAGCACCUGCACGAAUAAGAAAACACUAUUCAGAAACCAUGCAGACUGCUGUUCUCUGUUAACUGCUGAUGCACCUUCUUGGAGAACGUGGUAUUUUUCAUCCCCAGGCAAUAAUACAAGAGCAGAUGGAAUAUUACUCAAUUUUAUUAGGAAUCAAAGACGAUCCAGUCAUUGAAAUUUGCUUUUAAUCACACAGAUGGCAAAGACUGGGUGAAAGGUUUUGCACUGUAUAAAUAUGUUCACUCUUGAGUAGUAAAUUAGCAACAAACUAUAAUCAUAUAUUACAUGGCUGCUGAAUGCAAAUAAAUCAUUUUCCUUUGAGGAAUAUUCCUCUUCCCCGCUCUGCUUUCUCUUUAAGAAAUAUUGCAGAUGAUAUUGCAAUAAAGCAGUUCCCUGAAUUUUAAUAAAAAUUGGCAUUUUUCAAAUGAUCCCCAUAAAUCUUGUCUAAACCUCAUGUCCAGCUGCAUCCAUCUGCAUUAUAUAAAGGACCUUUCAUUCUCUGUGUAUUUGCUCUGAGAGUGAAAAAUCACAGUAUGUUCUGCUAUAUUUAGGCAGAGUCAACAAGCUCUCACAUUAUGGAUAAAGCGGGUCUUUAUCCUUCAUAGUUAAGAACAAAGAACAUUUCUAGCCAAACUGCAACAUGCAACAUAUGAAUUACCGGAGAAAAUUGUUUCAUUAAAAUUAACAGUAAUAGUUUCAUUUAAUACACAAUAUUUCCAGUGAUAUAAGCCUACUGAAAAGCUUUUCUAACCCUGAUAUUACCAUCACAAUAAAGAAAAUAAUGGAAGUUACUGUUGUGGAGAUUACACUAUAUCAUCUCUUUAAAAAACAAAACAAAAAACAAGUUGCUACAAGUUAGCAUGAAAUGAACGCAAAAUACAUGAAAUAAAACACUUUUCUUCUUACUGGUACACUGUAAAAAAAAAAAAAAGUGCUGUUUUUACAGGAAAACGCUGGCAGCUGGGGUUACCACACAGCUGGGAAACUCACAACUGUUAAAUCUACAAAAAAAGAAAAUAAUUUCACACAAUUGUUGUAUAUUCAUAGAAUAUUUCCUGUAUUUUUUUUUUUUUACAUGUAAUAAUUGCUUAUUGGGGAUCCAUAAUUUGUAAAAUUAACAGGGAAAUAUCAAACAAAAAACUCAUUUGAACUGGUAAAACAACUGUGAAACUGUGCAUUUUAAAUGGAGCUGCUCUGUAUAUUAUACAUAAAAUCUAUUACUAUGCUGUAUUUUUAUGUUUUAAUGUAUAA